UGGUCGCGCGGGUCGCUGCGCGGGAAGAUUGGAGGCGGCAGAGCUUGCGUCCAGGCUUCCCCGAGGCGCAGUUAGUAAAGAAUCCGCCUGCAAGGCCGGAGACCCCGGUUCAAUCCCUGGGUCAGGAAGAUCCCCUGGAGACGCAAUAGGCUCCCCACUCCAGGAUUCUUGGGCUUCCCUUGUGGCUCAGCUGGGAAAGAAUCCGCCUGCCAUGUGGGAGACCUGGGUUCCAUUCCUGGGUCAGGAAGAUCCCCUGGAGAAGGGAAAGGCUACCCACUCCAGUAUUCUGGCCUGGAGAACUUCAUGGACUGUAUCAUCGAUGGAGUCGCAAAGAGUCGGAC
ensembl:lncRNA